UCAUAUAAAACUUUGGUUCCACUCUAUAAAAAUAGUUCUAAUAUAUGUUGUUGUUGUACGUAAGGGGUAGGAUCAUUGAUCCUUAAGUGUUCUUUUUUCUCCAUCUCUUUAUUUUUUCAUUCAUGGCUGGUCCAAGGCGUGUAUGUGCCGCGUGGUAUGUUUAUUCGUGCAUAAUUAAUUUUCAAAAUCAAGUUAUUCAAGCUCGGUUUCUAGUAGAAUAUUAUUUGGAGGAUUCUCAGAGAUAUUUUUUUUAGCUGUGGCAUCCAGAUCUGAUUAGUAGCAGCCGACAUUAAUGUGAUUCCUACCUUCCAGUACUGAUUCGUAGCAGGGUGAGCUUACCAUCGUUCGAUGCUGAUCUUCCUCUAUCUACUCCGAUUGAGUCUUUUGUACUAGACUACUUGUGUAUAUUGGGUAUUAUUUGGAUUCUGUCUAGUACUCUGGGUAUAUUUUAGUAGUGGUUCUAGUACCGACCUUACCAGGUCUUGAGAGGGAUUCUUUUGUGUAUUUGGUCCUUUUCCACCCUCAUUUUAGUAUAUGAGAUAUUUUUAUUUUCUGUUUGU